GGAAGCGUGCCCGAAAGCCUAGGACCCCCCUUGAUGAGGGGAACAACAGGGGUUAAAAUCCCCUCUCUUCCU
rnacentral:tRNA from 1 species